rnacentral:rRNA from 1 species
AUUGAACGCUGGCGGCAGGCCUAACACAUGCAAGUCGAGCGGAUGAAGGGAGCUUGCUCCUGGAUUCAGCGGCGGACGGGUGAGUAAUGCCUAGGAAUCUGCCUGGUAGUGGGGGAUAACGUCCGGAAACGGGCGCUAAUACCGCAUACGUCCUGAGGGAGAAAGUGGGGGAUCUUCGGACCUCACGCUAUCAGAUGAGCCUAGGUCGGAUGAGCUAGUUGGUGGGGUAAAGGCCUACCAAGGCGACGAUCCGUAACUGGUCUGAGAGGAUGAUCAGUCACACUGGAAAUGAGACACGGUCCAGACUCCUACGGGAGGCAGCAGUGGGGAAUAUUGGACAAUGGGCGAAAGUCUGAUACAGCCAGGCCGCGUGUGGGAAGAAGGUCUUCGGAUUGUAAAGCACUUUAAGUUGGGAGGAAGGGCAGUAAGUGAAUACCUUGCUGUUUUGACGUUACCAACAGAAUAAGCACCGGCUAACUUCGUG